CGGGUCUUUCUCUUUUCCUUAAUCGUUCUCUGUCCUGAAAAAAAUUACGUUCUAGGUUCACUGUGGCUGCUGCUUGCAUUCAAUCAAAAGGGAAAAGAUCCAUUGUCACAAUAAGGUUCAUUACGACUGCAUAUGGUAUAAAUUGCUUAUUGGAUUCAAAAAUCUUUGGUGGUGACUCGAGCUUCAUUUGCUAUAGUUGAUAAGAAAACAUCAAGGACUUGGACAUGAUUUCUACAACUGCUAGAGAAGUCAUUGACUCUGAAAAAUGGUGAAAGUGUCACUUUCAUGUCUGACAUGCAGAAGGGACUGGUAGAUACAGUGAAAAAUGUCCUUCCUUUAGCCCACCACAGAGGUUUAGGUCAGGAGAGAUAAAGAAACUGCUUUGGUUGGCUUUUUGGAGUACCUAUGAAGAAGAUUUCAAGGACCAGUUGGAGCAUUAUCAGAGGAAGCUGUCAAAGACUUAUUAAAAUUCAAUCUAGUGAGAUGGUGCAGGGCAUAUAUGGGGACACUGUUUGGAAAAAUUAGAAGGUGGAUAAUAAUUUCACUGAGUCCUUCAACUCUUAGAUAUUGGAGCCAAGUAGAAAGCCAAUCUUGAAGAUGCUUGAAGAAAUAAGAGUUAAGAUAAUAAAUAGAUUGAAAGAGAAAGAAAAUAAGGUUAGAAGAUAGAAGGAAAAUUUUAGUCAUAAGUGCUUGGAAUUGUUCACUGCCAAUAAGAAGAUUGCUCAUUUUUGUACUGUUAACUUCAAUGGUGAUAUUGGUUAUGAAGUGUUUGAAAGUGAAGAUAGGCACAUAGUGAACUUGGUGGAGAAGAAAUGCACUUGUAGGUCUUGGUAGCUGAUUGGAAUUCCAUGCCCUCAUGCCAUCAAGGCUAUGUAGUAUAAAAAAAUGAAACCUGAUCUUAUGAAAAAAGAGAUAAGGGUAUGAUAUAAUAAGGAAGCUUACUUGAAUACAUACAAGGUCAAGUUGCUGCUUAUAAGAGGUGAAAACUUUUGGAAGAUUUUGACAGAACAUGCAAUAGAUCCACCAGAUUUAGUAACGACUGUUGGAAGGACAAAAAUCAAAAGAACAAGAGAAAAAGAUGCAGCAAUUAAAAGAGAAGGAGAAUGGGCUCACUCAAGAAAGAAAACUAGAAUGACUUGUAGUAAGUGUGGUUCAGUAACACAUAAUGCAAAGACAUGCAAGUUUGCUGAAGAUGAACAAGGGGAGAGAUUGAAGAGAAGAAGGGGCAGAACUAAAAAGAAAGAAAUUCAAGAAGAUGUGUAUGGCAUUAAUAGUUCAGACCCUCAACCAACACAAGAAGGAGAGGACCACCGCGAUGAACCAUUUGGUCCUGCUAGUGAACCCGAAAGUGAUCCAGAUUUAAAGCCUCAAAUUAUUCCUGAAGAUACAAGGUUAUUGGUAAGGCAAACUAGCAGCGGAGGGGGUGUUGGCAAUUGUGCUUGAAAUUGGAAAGCCUUUGAAUGGAUCCCAUAAGUCGAGGGAGAGUGGGUUGAAGAUGUUGCUCCUAUGACCACCGAAGAAGCUUGGAAUCAGAGACAUUCUUGGGACUUUGUUGUCUGAAGAAAACAAAAGAUGGAUUAUAAAGCUUGAAUUUUUCUUUAAUAGUAGUGUUUAAUCAGGUGAUAUGAAUAAGAGAAAAUGUUGUGCUAUUUAUAGGCGAUGAAUCGAUAACAAGGUCAUUUUUUAUGUGCAUUAGACAACUUGUAAUGACAAGACAACUUGAUAACUCCCUUCUGUAACAUCCAAAUAACAAUUUUCCUGUGUGCAGAGUCAAACUCCAUUGAUGUUUGUUGUAUGACCAUUACCCAGAACUUAUAAUCUCUAAAAUAGAAUAGCUAUCCAUGUGAAGAUAACAAUCAUUUAUAUAAGAAAGAUAAAC